GUUAAGGUUCUCAAAUUGCCCCUUUAAGACUGCUUUAUAUAGUGUCACAGCCACUAAUGUCCUUUCAGGUGCCUUAACUCUGUCUGUUCUACAAAGCAGGCACAUACCACGUUGUAUACAACAGUAAGGCUAAGUUAAGAUAUUGUUUGGGACAUCCUGUCAUCAAGGAAUUAGUUAUCAUGUCAGGACAUUGACAAGGUGUCUUAGAUAUGUCUGUAUUUCCACUGUACAUAAUUUAACACCAGUUACGUGACACACUUGGGUAGUGAAAACGAAAUGGAUAUGUCUAUGUGAAGGACGCUUUCAAAUAUUACUGGUGGACAUUAAAUAAAUUCAACAUCAGUAACAUACUUAUUUCCUAAUUUGGAAUGACCUUGCUACGUUUUUAGCUUCUACUUAUAU